rnacentral:rRNA from 1 species
UACGUAGGGGGCAAGCGUUGUCCGGAUUUAUUGGGCGUAAAGAGCGCGUAGGCGGCUUGUCAGGUCGGAUGUGAAAACCGGGGGCUUAACCCGCGGACUGCAUUCGAAACCGGCAGGCUUGAGUCUGGUAGAGGAAAGUGGAAUUCCCAGUGUAGCGGUGAAAUGCGCAGAUACUAGGAAGAACACCAGUGGCGAAGGCGGCUUUCUGGGCCAUGACUGACGCUGAGGCGCGAAAGCUAGGGGAGCGAACAGG